CAUCAUUCGGUUACCCUCUAUGUGGUCAUUCAGCAUGCAAGUUGGGCUGCAAGGUUUUACAGGAUUUCUCUCUCUUCAGACUCAACCCAAAAACAAGGUUUUGUCACCCAGAUUUCACACAGCCCUGAUUUGGAGCAUCUAUUUGAAGCACCCUGAGUACAGAACUCUGGCGCUGUCCAAAGAUGUCAGCUAGAUCUCAGCUGGCUGGAGCUUCUUUCUCAUACCAGUGAAUUUCUUCUAAAAUGAAACGGGAUCAGACUUUAACAAGAGCAGGAAGGACAGCUCCAGCCCAUCUUAAGUAACUUCUUUUCUUUUCCUCCAAAAGGACAGAUAUUACUGUCUUUGGCGCUAUGUAAAUGACUGUCAAACAAGGAUGAUUUUCCUUCUAAAAAUUCUCUCCAGCUAAAGGGAAGUUGUUAAAAUGAAAGCCUUAUCUUAUGCUUUACAUUUCAAAUGCUUUAAUUGUUUUCCCUUCUUUGCUGUAUCUUUCCUACAAGGUUAUAAAGAAAUUUUAAAAGUGUAUUUGCCAUGGUACUAGGCAGGCAGAAGUGUCUGUGUAUCAGUCCUCAAUCCUUGUUUAAAUCUGUUUAAUGCUAGACGGUGACGGGGUUAUGUUAACAACUUUGAUUCUUUGGACCCAUUUACCCCAUCUAAAUUAAUACAUCAGGGCCCUUUCUUCAGCGGGCUUUAAUCAGCAUAGCUCCACUCAGGAUAAUUGAGUUGUGCCAAUUUACACCAGCUACAUAUUUGCCCCUGUAUCUUUAGGUAGAGUAAUGGCACUUUUCAACAACUCUUAACCUAGGCUUUUGUACACAUCUGUGAUUUGAAAGAUUGGUAAGAUCUUGUCAUAUUUCCCCCGGCAUUGGGGGAACUGGGG